GCCUUCUUGGCCAAGCGGUAAGGCGUCGCACUCGUACCGAUUUCAGUACUUUAAGUAAUUGAAUCAUACAAGUUAUGCGAAGAUCGACGGUUCGAUUCCGUCAGGAGGCA
rnacentral:tRNA from 1 species